rnacentral:rRNA from 1 species
UACGGAGGGUGCGAGCGUUGUCCGGAAUCACUGGGCGUAAAGGGCGCGUAGGCGGCGCGGAUAGUCGGCGGUGAAAGCCCGGAGCUCAACUCCGGGUCGGCCGUCGAUACUUCCGGGCUUGAGCACUGUAGAGGCAGAUGGAAUUCCGGGUGUAGCGGUGGAAUGCGUAGAGAUCCGGAAGAACACCGGUGGCGAAGGCGGUCUACUGGGCAGUUGCUGACGCUGAUGCGCGACAGCGUGGGGAGCAAACAGG